rnacentral:rRNA from 1 species
GUUGGUGACCAUAGACGCGGGGCAACACCUGUUCCCAUCCCGAACACAGCAGUUAAGCCCGCGUCGCCGAUGAUACUGCAUUGCGGGAAAGUAGGUCGUCGCCAGCU